UUCAGAAGAGCAAAGAGCCGAACCGGGAAACCGAACUGGAGACUCCAACUAGGGUCGGACCACCGAAUCGGAGGGCCGUGGCCGCCGAUAGGAGGCGGUGGGGGAGUCGCACUGAACUGUUGGAGGCUCAUCCGGGACGUGAUGCUGGCCAUCCGGUCCGUCCUCCGCGACGCCAUGGCCGAUUUCUCCAUCCUUUACCGGAUCAGAAGCCUUCGGAGCCUACUCAAGUUCCUCAGAUCCAGCGUCGGCUCCGAUGAUUCCCAUUCGCCUAUUCCUCCGCUCUCCAACCAUUCCCCAACUGCGAGCAUUGUAAGGGAUGUCAUGCAAUCGCGAAAGUCAUAGAUCUUAAUUAAGGAUGAGCAAGCGGAUGGCGGCGUGUAAGGUGGUUUAUGGGAGUAGAAGGGAAAGAAUUCUUUCAGGGUGUCGUCGAUGAAUUCACUUAGAAUGCAACACGGUGAGGGACUUAAUUGGUGGGUUGAGUGUCUCUUGCAUUGUAUCAGUUGGUGAAGGUCAGCGCUGACCGAUCAAGUCAUGGCUGUAAGGAUGAAAUCUAACACACUGGUUUAAUCUCAAGUAUCGAAAAUGAGUUAAAACCUUA